AUUGAACGCUGGCGGCAUGCUUUACACAUGCAAGUCGAACGGCAGCGCGGGCUUCGGCCUGGCGGCGAGUGGCGAACGGGUGAGUAAUACAUCGGAACGUGCCCAGUAGUGGGGGAUAGCUCGGCGAAAGCCGGAUUAAUACCGCAUACGACCUGAGGGGGAAAGCGGGGGAUCUUCGGACCUCGCGCUAUUGGAGCGGCCGAUGGCAGAUUAGCUAGUUGGUGGGGUAAAGGCCUACCAAGGCGACGAUCUGUAGCUGGUCUGAGAGGACGACCAGCCACACUGGGACUGAGACACGGCCCAGACUCCUACGGGAGGCAGCAGUGGGGAAUUUUGGACAAUGGGCGAAAGCCUGAUCCAGCAAUGCCGCGUGUGUGAUGAAGGCCUUCGGGUUGUAAAGCACUUUUGGCGGGAACGAAAAGGACUGUGCCAAUACCACGGUUCGAUGACGGUACCCGCAGAAUAAGCACCGGCUAACUACGUG
rnacentral:rRNA from 1 species